rnacentral:rRNA from 1 species
AUUGAACGCUGGCGGCGUGCUUUACACAUGCAAGUCGAACGGCAGCACGGGGCUCAGGCAACUGAGCCCUGGUGGCGAGUGGCAAACGGGUGAGUAAUACUUCGGGACGUACCUUCUAAUGGGGGAUAACUACUCGAAAGAGUGGCUAAUACCGCAUAUGUCUAAGGAUGAAAGCGGGGGAUCGUAAGACCUCGCGUUAGUUGAGCGGCCGAAGCAAGAUUAGGUAGUUGGUGAGGUAAAGGCUCACCAAGCCUGCGAUCUUUAGCUGGUCUGAGAGGACGAUCAGCCACACUGGAACUGAGACACGGUCCAGACUCCUACGGGAGGCAGCAGUGGGGAAUUUUGGACAAUGGGGGCAACCCUGAUCCAGCAACACCGCGUGAGUGAAGAAGGCCUUCGGGUUGUAAAGCUCUUUUGUUAGGGAAGAAAUCUUCUAGGCUAAUACCUUGGGAGGAUGACGGUACCUAAAGAAUAAGCACCGGCUAACUACGUGCCAGCCGCCGCGGUAA